GGCUUAGUAGCUCAGUUGGUUAGAGCACUACCCUAGAGUGCUAGUAAUGUAGGUUUGAACCCUGCUUAAGCCG